GCAAGCGCACGCGCUGCUUCGGGCGAGCAUUGCCUCGGCCAAUCCGCCUCGUGUCGGUUUUUUGCCGCGCUCAAAGGUGCCUCAGUCCAUUUGGCGCGCGCACUCAGGACGGACGUUGUGUGCCUCGCUCGCUCGCGUCAUGGAUAAGGAGCUGUGCUUGAAACUUAUCGAGCAAUAUGGGAAUUACAAACUUCUUUGGGACGCGCAAUGUCCACAAUACAUAAACAGGGGAUUGAGGGAAGAUGCAUGGAUAAAUAUAAGCAGAGAAAUGAAUCUCCCAGUAAAAGAUCUGAAAAAGAAGAUGGAGUCUUUGAUGGGAUCAUACCGAAGAGAAAAAUCAAGGGAGAAAAAAAGCCGGGUUACAGGAUCAGGUCGUGACGAGGUGUAUACUUCAACAUGGUAUGCAUAUGGAGCUUUCAGCUUUAUGGGAGAUAGAAAUGAUCCAGGUGAAACUCAAGAUACUUUUCAUACGCAAGAAGACAUUCAGGAAGAAGGUGAUGAAAGCAGGAAUGAAACUCAAGAAUCAACUAGAGGACUGGGACAACAACAAGAAAUUCCAAAAAGAAGAGCUAAAAAGAGAUCUGCAGCUGUACAAGAGAUAUCAGAUAAUACUAUAACCGAAGCAUUUAAACUUUUGAAACAAUGUGUAGGCGACGCUAAUGCUUCGCAGCCCCGUGCAAACGAUUCAUAUGAUGCUUUUGGGCAAUACAUUGCUCACGAACUAAGAAAAUACGACAAUUAUACUUUAGCGCAUGUAAAAAUUCUAUCUGUAGGAUCAUUUUUGAAACAGAUACUGGUGCACACCAACAUUAUAUGCCAAACACAGGUUACUAUACUCACACCUACGGUUCUGCAUAUUCCACUUCAGGUAACUCUUGUUCUAUCCCUUCAAUGUCACCGAUGCCUCCUCCGCCGAUACAUUCUAGCUCACCAAUGCCUUCUCCGUCACCAAUAACUUCUACCUCACCAAUGCCUCCUCCGCCGAUACAUUCUAUUUCAUCAAUGCCACCUCCACAUAAUGAAUAAAUAGAUUUAAAAAGUCUUCGUGUUGCAAUAUUCUUAGAUAUAUAAGUAAAGAUUAUAGUUAGCAAUGUGUGAGUAAAUAUGAAUAAUUACAAAAAUUUGUGAGUAACAAUAAACAUAACAAUAGGUAAAAAAGCAACGAUUAAAACAAUGUCUGAUUAUAUAAAUAUGUUUCAUUAUACAUACCUUAUCAUAGUCCUUUAAUUGUUCAAUAAUGGCGUCACAAACAUCAGGAACAAUUACUGAUAUCCUUUGUUUCGAAACCCGAAAUAAAUAUUGUAAGCUGGUGUAGGAAUCUCCUGUUGCCAAAAAUCUUUAUGUUAUCAACAAUCUUUCUCGUACAGUAAUUGCUUUGCGGAAAUUUGUGUCACUCCUGCUUAUUUUGGCAUUUACAAGUGAGUACAGUAUUUCAA